rnacentral:rRNA from 1 species
UACGGGGGGAGCAAGCGUUGUUCGGAUUUACUGGGCGUAAAGGGCGCGUAGGCGGUCGUGACAAGUCACUUGUGAAAUCUCCGGGCUUAACUCGGAACGGUCAAGUGAUACUGUCGGACUAGAGUACAGAAGGGGCAACUGGAAUUCUCGGUGUAGCGGUGAAAUGCGUAGAUAUCAGGAGGAACACCGAUUGCGAAGGCAGCUCGCUGGGACGGUACUGACGCUGAGACGCGAAAGCGUGGGGAGCAAACAGG